rnacentral:rRNA from 1 species
AACGAACGCUGGCGGCAGGCUUAACACAUGCAAGUCGAGCGGAAGUUGAAGAGCUUGCUCUUCAACUUUAGCGGCGGACGGGUGAGUAACACGUGGGCAACCUGCCCUGCAGAUCGGGAUAACUCCGGGAAACCGGUGCUAAUACCGAAUAGUUUUCGCCACCUCCUGGUGGCGUACGGAAAGACGGUUUCGGCUGUCACUGCAGGAUGGGCCCGCGGCGGAUUAGCUAGUUGGUGGGGUAACGGCCCACCAAGGCAACGAUGCGUAGCCGACCUGAGAGGGUGAUCGGCCACACUGGGACUGAGACACGGCCCAGACUCCUACGGGAGGCAGCAGCAGGGAAUCUUCCGCAAUGGACGAAAGUCUGACGGAGCAACGCCGCGUGAGUGACGAAGGUUUUCGGAUCGUAAAACUCUGUUGUGAGGGAAGAACAAGUACCACUUAACUACUGGUACCUUGACGGUACCUCACCAGAAAGCCACGGCUAACUACGUGCCAGCAGCCGCAGUAAUAC